AUUGAACGCUGGCGGCAGGCCUAACACAUGCAAGUCGAACGCUGUAGCAAUACAGAGUGGCAGACGGGUGAGUAACGCGUGGGAACCUUCCCAAUGGUGCGGAAUAGCUCAGGGAAACUUGAGGUAAUACCGCAUAAGCCCUUAGGGGGAAAGAUUUAUCGCCAUUGGAUGGGCCCGCGUCGGAUUAGCUAGUUGGUGAGGUAAUGGCUCACCAAGGCAACGAUCCGUAGCUGGUUUGAGAGAAUGACCAGCCACACUGGGACUGAGACACGGCCCAGACUCCUACGGGAGGCAGCAGUGGGGAAUUUUGGACAAUGGGCGCAAGCCUGAUCCAGCCAUGCCGCGUGAGUGACGAAGGCCUUAGGGUUGUAAAGCUCUUUUGCCGGGGACGAUAAUGACGGUACCCGGAGAAUAAGUCCCGGCUAACUUCGUGCCAGCCGCCGCAGUAAAAC
rnacentral:rRNA from 1 species